rnacentral:snoRNA from 1 species
AAAUAAUACUCUGGCAGAUUAUCAAAAUAGUCUGGCACAGUUUGAGCUUGCUCCAACAGGAAAAUCUAACCCAUUCCAGCACUCUCGACUUUGUUUAAAAAAAA